CCAAUAGCGUAUAUUAAAGUUGUUGCAGUUAAAAAGCUCGUAGUUGAAUUUUAGGCCUGACCGGACGGUCCGUCUCUGGCGAGUACUGUUCUGUUGUCGGGUCUAUCCUUCUGGUGAGCCGGUAUGCCCUUUAUUGGGUGUGUCGGGGAACCAGGACCAUUACCUUGAAAAAAUUAGAGUGUUUAAAGCGGGCUUUUGCUUGAAUAGAUUAGCAUGGAAUAAUAGAAUAGGACGUUGGUUCUAUUUUGUUGGUCUAGGACCACCGUAAUGAUUAAUAGGGAUAGUUGGGGGAAUUAGUAUUCAAUUGUCAGAGGUGAAAUUCUUGGAUUUAUUGAAGACUAACUACUGCGAAAGCAUUUGCCAAGGAUGUUUUCAUUAAUCAAGAACGAAAGUUAGGGGAUCGAAGACGAUCAGAUACCGUCGUAGUCUUAACCAUAAACUAUGCCGACUAGGAAUCGGGCGACGUUAUUUUCAUGACUCGCUCGGCGCCUUAUG
rnacentral:misc_RNA from 1 species